rnacentral:lncRNA from 1 species
GCCAUCAACACAUUUGUGAAGGAAUUUUUACUCCCCAAAAGAGCGCCCCCCCAUGGCAGGAGAAAAAAGUCCAUUUUUUCUUGUCCCAUAAGGUGAAAAUACACAUUGUUGAGUGUCACGCCUGUACGCUUUGUCAAAAUGACCCAAAAUUUGACAAUCACGUGUAUCUCAAUAAGAUCUAUGAAAAAGUCAAUGCGCAAAUAUCUGGAAAAUGUACGGUUAAAGGGCUAUUUUGCAUUUUUUGGCGAUUCGCACACAUUGGAAUUUCGCUAAGUCCUCCUAAGGCUUUCGUCCCACUGACACCAAAUUUGCUCAGGCCAAUCUACACCCCAUGGCCAUUAAAAGUUGUACAAAUCAUGACGCUGCACCCCACGGUUUACCUUCUAGGGGGCGCCAAAGAUGACCCAAAUAUCCACAUUCUUAAAAGAAUCCACAUCCCCCCUCCCCCCAUGGCAGGAGAAAAAGUCAAGUUUUUCCUUCCCAUCGCUCAAUGGCUCAAUCGCAUCGCUCUCUCGGCAAAAGCGAAAGGUGGAUCCAUUUGGAUAUAUCCUAGCUGUGUUUGUGCCCUCACUCAUGGUCCAGACUUUUUUCAAAUAGGACAUGUAGUUUGUCUGCAGCGAGUGUUUUGGUAGAAACUGCGCCUCCCAUUCAUUAUAAUGGGAAAUGACCACAGACAAGUGCGCACUCCAUCUUUGGACCUUGAGUGUGACGCGAUCGGGAGGUGGAGGCGGUCGCGCUGGGGGCGGCACGACACGGCUCGGGCCCGACAGUGCCCCACCGGGGCCCUAGUUAUUAUUUUUCCUCCGCUUUAAACUGGAAAAUGGCCCACUUCCCACUGGCGAAAACUCAUGAAAUUUGGCAGGACGACCGGGCCUGGUGAAAAAUUCGAUAUUCUGAAGUCGCCCAAACAAGAAAAUGCAAAAUGGCUCCAUAGCGCCCCCUAAGGUGAAAAUUCACACUAUUGACUGUCACGCCUGUACGCUUUGUCAUAUUGACACAAAAAUUGACACACACAUGUAUCUCAAUAAGAUCUACAAAAAAGUCAGUGCGGGUGUAUCUGUCAAAUGUACGGUUAAAGGGUUAUUUUGCAUUUUUUGCAGAUCCGCACACAUUGGAAUUUCGCUAACUCCUCCGAAGGCUUUCGUUCCACCGGCACCACAUUUGCUCAGGCCAAUCUACACUCCAUGGCCAUUCAAAGUUGUACAAAUCAUAAUGCUGCACCCCAUGGUUUAGGUUCUAGGGGGCGCCAAAAAUAACCCAAAAAUCCACAUUCUUAAAAGUUUUAUAAAUUUUUUUUUUGUCCUCACUGGCCUCCAAGUUUUCUAGGAUGAUGCAAUGUCCAGCCAUCAACACAUUUGUGAAGGAAUUUUUACUCCCCAAAAGAGCGCCCCCCCAUGGCAGGAAUAAAAAGUCCAUUUUUUCUUGUCCCCUAAGGUGAAAAUACACAUUGUUGAGUGUCACGCCUGUACGCUUUGUCGUAUUGACAAAAAAUUUGACACACACGUGUAUCUCAAUAAGAUCUACGAAAAAGUCAAUGGGCGCGUAUCUGUAAAAUGUACGGCUAAAGGGCUAUUUUGCAUUUUUUGCCGAUUCGCACACAUUGGAAUGUGGCUAACUCCUCCUAAGGCUUUCGUCCCACUGACACCAAAUUUGCUCAGGCCAAUCUACACCCCAUGGCCAUUCAAAGUUGUAAAAAUCAUGCCGCUGCACCCCAUGGUUUACGUUCUAGGGGGCGCCAAAGAUGACCCAAAUAUCCACAUUCUUAAAAGUCGUUUUGGCCACUGCAGGAGUACAGAGUACUGCAGGAUACACACACACAGACACACACACACACAGACACACACACACACACACACACACACACACACACACACACCUCAGAGUCUGUUUUUUAGCACCUGCAAAAACAUGCUAUUUACAUAUUUGACAACAAUGCAGAGGCUUCCUUUUGCCCCUGAAAAAAAUCAAAUUUCUAACACAACUUGACUGCUCAUUUCUCCAAAAGACAACCAUGAAGCUCCAUCCAAACCUGAAGCAGGCAGUUGGUGCAUGUGUACAGUAACCUGAGGGGAGUGAGGUGACUGCUUAUGAGGAGAACAUGAGCAGUGAAGAUUCACCUUGGAGCGAGAACAGGGACGUGCACAUGAUUAUACGGGGGCAGGGGCUCAAGUUUUUUCCAGUCGUUUAUACAAUAUGGAAAUUAAUGUGAAAUUAAAAAACAAAGUAUUAAUAGAAAGGUAAUGACUGUCCUGUGUAGGUGACAGUGAUAUCCAAUAGGCUAGGCACUCACAAGGCUGGCUGUGGCAAGUGUAAGUGAAAGCAACACGCACUGGCAGGAAGAACAGCAAACGCCGAUGAAGGAAAAGGGUCUUUGCAGUGAUGGGCGUUACCAGAGAGGACGAUGGCCAGAGGACGCGAAUGGGACGGGGAGGCAGCGCGUUGGGGGGGGGGGGGGGGGGGGCGACACAGCUCGGGCCCGCCAGUGCCCCAACGGGGCCCUAGUUAGGGCCCGAGCGUAGCUGCUAAGCAGCUGCGAGAGCCCUCUUGUUCCUGUAGUUUCCUUCUUUUGUUAUUAGGGCCCGAGCGUAGCUGCUAAGCAGCUGCGAGAGCCCUAUUAUUCCCCAAGUGGUUUUUCUUUGUUUCUUUCUUUCUUCUUUUUCCUCCCCUUUGAACUGGAAAAUGGCCCACUUCCCACUGGCGAAAACUCAUGAAAUUUGGCAAGAUGACCGGGCCUGGUGAAAAAUUUGAUAUUCCGAAGUCGCCCAAACAAGAAAAUGCAAAAUGGCUCCAUAGCACGCCCCCUAAGGUGAAAAUUCACACUAUUGACUGUCACGCCUUUACGCUUUGUCAAAAUGACACAAAAAUUGACACACAUAUGUAUCUCAAUAAGAUCUACAAAAAAGUCAGUGCGGGCGUAUCUGUCAAAUGUAUGGUUAAAGGGCUAUUCCGCAUUUUUUGCCGAUCCGCACACAUUGGAAUUUCGCUAACUCCUCCGAAGGCUUUCGUUCCACCGGCACCACAUUUGCUCAGGCCAAUCUACACCCCAUGGCCAUUAAAAGUUAUUCAAAUCAUGACGCUGCACCCCACGGUUUACGUUCUAGGGGGCGCCAAAGAUAACCCAAAAAUCCACAUUUUUAAAAGUCUUAUAACUUUUUAUUUUUGUCCUCACUGGCCUCCAAGUUUUCUAGGAUGAUGCAAUGUCCAGCCAUCAACACAUUUGUGAAGGAAUUUUUACUCCCUAAAAGAGCGCCCCCCCAUGGCAGGAGAAAAAAGUCCAUUUUUUCUUGUCCCCUAAGGUGAAAAUACACAUUGUUGACUGUCACGCCUGUACGCUUUGGCAAAAUGACACAAAAAUUGACAAUCAUGUGUAUCUCAAUUAGAUCUACGAAAAAGUCAAAGAGCGCGUAUCUGUAUAAUGUACGGUAAAAGGGCUAUUUUGCAUUUUUUGCCGAUUCGCACACAUUGGAAUUUCGCUAACUCCUCCUAAGGCUUUCGUCCCACUGACACCAAAUUUGCUCAGGCCAAUCUACACUCCAUGGCCAUUCAAAGUUGUAAAAAUCAUGACGCUGCACCCCACGGUUUACGUUUUAGGGGGCGCCAAAGAUGACCCAAAUAUACAUUACAGUAGACAAAGUAGUUUUGCCCACUGAGUGGCGCCAAAGGGACUUGUCUGUGGAGUCUGUGAGUCACUAUUGGCCGUUUUUGACUACUUUAGAUUUUACCUUUAUAUUUCCUCUUACAAAAUUUUUACCUUGCCUUGCCUGGUAUCAUUUUUUUCAGCACAACCUCACCUGUGUCAAUUUACAGUUAUUUUAUCAUUUUGACAUACUAUAUUUACACAUUGGACCCAAAUUCACACACAAAACAUAAAAUCCGAGUGGAAAAAAGUAACGUUUUUACUGUGAAAACCACAAAUAUGUGUGAUGAACUGUUUUUAAAACUUAAACUUCAAAUAAAAAUUGUAAACUUCAAAACAUAUGCAAAUUUUUAACAAAGAACAUAGUAAUUUACCUCUAUUGACAUCAAAAUGCAGGCAAUGGCCCAGGUGUUCUUUGUAAAAUUAUUUACAAAACACUGUAUAGUCUCACAAAUGUCACUUUUUAUUUAUGCCACUACAAAAAAACAUGAUGUAAAUGAUGCAUGAUGUAAAACAUGAUGUAAAAAACUUGUGUAGAUCCUCCUCUAUGUUAGUCCAUGUGUAAUUUUUCCAUAAUUCUUUGUUUUUUGCAGCAUUUUUGUUAGUGUAACUGCAGAUUGUGCUGACAGUGUCUAUGGCAAAAAAAAAAAAAAAAACUGAAAAUGCCUCAACAUGAACCCCUGGUGGUCUCUGAGGGUGAAACCUGCUAACUGCUGCAGCUCUGUCAGCUUCAGUCUCCCAUGCAGAGCUCGGAGCCCAUGUGUGGCUCUGCACCCUUAGCAGCGUUGCUAACUCCUCAGUAAGGAAAGCCUGCUUCAUGUCAGAGUCUCUAAACUCCAGAAGAAGUCGAUAAAAGUCACUUUCUUUCUAAAAAAAAGUCGUUAGGGGGUCUGAAAAGUCAUUGAAUCUAACAACAAAGUCGCUAGGUUUGCAACUACGUGUCCCAGACUGCAUCCCUGCUGAGAGUCCCUCCCUCCCUUCUCAUAUUGCAGGAAGAACGUAAGUUCCCGCCCCUUGUCAAUCAGUCACCAUAUAAUUUUGGAUUGGUUGUUGUGGUGAAGUUUUCCACCAAUAGGAGAGAUGUUGUGGUGUGUAUUUUUUUUUCUUUGGCAAGCCUUUUCCGCCUGUAAGACCUGUCGCUAAUGUCUGCAUGCUAUGUUUUCCUGUCUCAUACAGCGCGAUCGAGCGCCGAACGUGAUCAAAAUAAGCAGAAAACAAGUAUCGCGGACAUAAUUUAUCAUAACUCUGGUUUUAUUUGGCCUAUCAACACAAUUUAAAAACUGGUAUAUAGGUUGAGGUCCUCACUUUUGAGAUAAGUUGAAACGGAGAGUCAACGAGGCUCCGUCUUGCAGCUACAUCCGGUUAAAUAUGUCAUGUGACUUGAACGCACACACACACACACACACAGACACACACACACACGCACACACACACACUCAGAGUCUGGUUUGUAGCACCUGCAAAAACAUGCUAUUUACAUAUUUGACAAGAAUGCAGAGGCUCCUUUUGCCCCUGAAAAAAAUCAAAUUUCAAACACAACUUGACUGGUCAUUUCUCUAAAAGACAACCAUGAAGCUCCAUCCAAACCUGAAGCAGGCAGUUGGUGCAUGUGUACAGUAACCUGAGGGGAGUGAGGUGACUGCUUCUGAGGAGAACAUGAGCAGUGAAGAUUUACCUUAGAGCUAGAACAGAGACGUGCACAUGAUUAUACAGGGGCAGGGGCUCAAGUUUUUUCCAGUCGUUUAUACAAUUUGGAAAUUAAUGUGAAAUUAAAAAACAAAGUAUUAAUAGAAAGGUAAUGACUGUCCUGUGUAGGUGACAGUGAUAUCCAAUAGGCUAGGCACUCACGAGGCUGGCUGUGGCAAGUGUAAGUGAAAGCAACACGCACUGGCAGGAAGAACAGCAAACGCCGAUGAAGGAAAAGGGUCUUUGCAGUGAUGGGCGUUACCAAAGAGGGCGAUGGCCAGAGGACACAAAUGGGACGGGGAGGCAGCGCGUUGGGGGGGGGACGCGACACAGCUCGGGCCCGCCAGUGCCCCAACGGGGUCCUAGUUAGGGCCCGAGCGUAGCUGCUAAGCAGCUGCGAGAGCCCUCUUGUUCCUGCAUGUUUCCUUCUUUCGUUAUUAUUUUUCCUCCGCUUUAAACUGGAAAAUGGCCCACUUCCCACUGGCGAAAACUCAGGAAAUUUGGCAGGACGACCGGGCCUGGUGAAAAAUUCGAUAUUCUGAAGUCGCCCAAACAAUAAAAUGCAAAAUGGCUCCAUAGCGCCCCCUAAGGUGAAAAUUCACAUGACGGCUGUACGCUUUGUCAUAUUGACACAAAAAUUGACACACACAUGUAUCUCAAUAAGAUCUACAAAAAAGUCAGUGCGGGCGUAUCUGUCAAAUGUACGGUUAAUGGGUUAUUUUGCAUUUUUUGCAGAUCUGCACACAUUGGAAUUUCGCUAACUCCUCCGAAGGCUUUCGUUCGACCGGCACCACAUUUGCGCAGGCCAAUCUACCCCCCAUGGCCAUUAAAAGUUGUACAAAUCAUGACGCUGCACCCCACGGUUUACGUUCUAGGGGGCGCCAAAGAUAACCCAAAAUCCACAUUCUUAAAAGUCUUAUAACUUUUUAUUUUUGUCCUCACUGCCCUCCAAGUUUUCUAGGAUGAUGCAAUGUCCAGCCAUCAACACAUUUGUGAAGGAAUUUUUACUCCCCAAAAGAGCGCCCCCCCAUGGCAGGAGAAAAAAGUCAAUUUUUUCUUGUCCCCUUACAUGAAAAUACACAUUGUUGAGUGUCACGCCUGAACGCUUUGUCAUAUUGACACAAAAAUUGACAAUCAUGUGUAUCUCAAUUAGAUCUACGAAAAAGUCAAAAAGCGCGUAUCUGUAUAAUGUACGGUUAAAGGGCUAUUUCGCAUUUUUUGCGGAUUCGCACACAUUGGAAUGUGGCUAUCUUCUCCUAAGGCUUUCGUCCCACCGAUACCAAAUUUGCUCAGGGCAAUCUACACCCCAUGGCCAUUCAAAGUUGUAAAAAUCAUGACGCUGCACCCCACGGUUUACGUUCUAGGGGGCGCCAAAGAUGACCCAAAAAUCCACAUUCUUAAAAGUCAUUUUGGCCACUGCAGGAGUACAGAGUACUGCAGUUCUAGGGGGCGCCAAAGAUGACCCAAAAAUCCACAUUCUUAAAAGUCUUUUUGGCCACUGCAGGAGUACAGAGUACUGCAGGAUACACACACAUAUACACACACACACACACACAGACACACACACACACACACUCAGAGUCUGUUUUUUAGCACCUGCAAAAACAUGCUGUUUACAUAUUUGACAAGAAUGCAGAGGCUUCCUUUUGCCCCUGAAAAAAAUCAGAUUUCAAACACAACUUGACUGUUCAUUUCUCCAAAAGACAACCAUGAAGCUCCAUCCAAACCUGAAGCAGAUAGUUGGUGCAUGUGUACAGUAACCUGAGGGGAGUGAGGUGACUAUUUCUGAGGAGAACAUGAGCAGUGAAGAUUCACCUUGGAGCUAGAACAGGGACGUGCACAUGAUUAUACAGGGGCAGGGGCUCAAGUCAUUUAUACAAUAUGGAAAUUAAUGUGAAAUUAAACCACAAAUAUGUGUGAUGAACUGUUUUUAAAACUUAAACUUCAAAUAAAAAUUGUAAACUUCAAAACAUAUGCAAAUUUUUAACAAAGAACAUAGUAAUUUACCUCUAUUUACAUCAAAAUGCAGGCAAUGGCCCAGGCGUUCUUUGUAAAAUUAUUUACAAAACACUGUAUAGUCUCACAAAUGUCACUUUUUAUUUAUGCCACUACAAAAAAACAUGAUGUAAAUGAUGCAUGAUGUAAAACAUGAUGUAAAAAACUUGUGUAGAUCCUCCUCUAUGUCAGUCCAUGUGUAAUUUUUCCAUAAUUCUUUGUUUUUUGCAGCAUUUUUGUUAGUGUAACUGCAGAUUGUGCUGACAAUCUAUGGCAAAAAAAAACAAAAACUGAAAAUGCCUCAACAUGAACCCCUGGUGGUCUCUGAGGGUGAAACCUGCUAACUGCUGCAGCUCUGUCAGCUUCAGUCUCCCAUGCAGAGCUCGGAGCGCAUGUGUGGCUCUGCACCCUUAGCAGCGUUGCUAACUCCUCAGUAAGGAAAGCCUGCUUCAUGUCAGAGUCUCUAAACUCCAGAAGAAGUCGAUAAAAGUCCCUUUCUUUCUAAAAAAAAGUCGUUAGGGGGUCUGAAAAGUCAUUGAAUCUAACAACAAAGUCGCUAGGUUUGCAACUACGUGUCCCAGACUGCAUCCCUGCUGAGAGUCCCUCCCUCCCUUCUCAUAUUGCAGGAAGAACGUAAGCGCCCGCCCCUUGUCAAUCAGUCACCAUAUAAUUUUGGAUUGGUUGUUGUGGUGAAGUUUUCCACCAAUAGGAGAGAUGUUGUGGUGUGUUUUUUUUUUCUUUUGGCAAGCCUUUUCCGCCUGUAAGACCUGUCGCUAAUGUGUGCAUGCUAUGUUUUCCUGUCUCAUACAGCGCGAUCGAGCGCCGAACGUGAUCAAAAUAAGCAGAAAAAAAGUAUCGCGGACAUAAUUUAUCAUAACUCUGGUUUUAUUUGGCCUAUCAACGCAAUUUAAAAACUGGUAUAUAGGUUGAGGUCCUCACUUUUGAGAUAAGUUGAAACGGAGAGUUAACGAGGCUCCGUCUUGCAGCUACAUCCGGUUAAAUAUGUCAUGUGACUUGAACGCUGGGGAGCGUCAAUCGAAUCGAAUCAAACCUAACUCUCAGAUGAAUCUUCAAAAUUCACCUCAGAAAUAUGCUUAUUAUUCUUCUCAGAGUACUGCAGGAUACACACACACACACACACACACACACACACACACACACACACACACACACACACACACACACACACACACACACACACACACUCAGAGUCUGUUUUUUAGCACCUGCAAAAACAUGCUAUUUACAUAUUUGACAAGAAUGCAGAGGCUUCCUUUUGCCCCUGAAAAAAAUCAAAUUUCAAACACAACUUGACUGCUCAUUUCUCCAAAAGACAACCAUGAAGCUCCAUCCAAACCUGAAGCAGGCAGUUGGUGCAUGUGUACAGUAACCUGAGGGGAGUGAGGUGACUGCUUCUGAGGAGAACAUGAGCAGUGAAGAUUCACCUUGGAGCUAGAACAGGGACGUGCACAUGAUAAUACAGGGGCAGGGGCUCAAGAUUUUUCCAGUCGUUUAUACAAUAAGGAAAUUAAUGUGAAAUUAAAAAACAAAGUAUGACUGUCCUGUGUAGGUGACAGUGAUAUCCAAUAGGCUAGGCACUCACGAGGCUGGCUGUGGCAAGUGUAAGUGAAAGCAACACGCACUGGCAGGAAGAACAGCAAACGCCGAUGAAGGAAAAGGGUCUUUGCAGUGAUGGGCGUUACCAGAGAGGGCGAUGGCCAGAGGACGCGAAUGGGACGGGGAGGCAGCGCGUUGGGGGGGGGGGGGGGGGGGGGCGCGACACGGCUCGGGCCCGCCAGUGCCCCAACGGGGCCCUAGUUAGGGCCCGAGCGUAGCUGCUAAGCAGCUGCGAGAGCCCUAUUAUUCCCCAAGUGGUUUUUCUUUGUUUCUUUCUUUAGGGCCCGAGCGUAGCUGCUAAGCAGCUGCGAGAGCCCUCUUGUUCCUGUAGUUUCCUUCUUUUGUUAUUAUUAUUAUUAUUUUUCCUCCCCUUUGAACUGGAAAAUGGCCCACUUCCCACUGGCGAAAACUCAUGAAAUUUGGCAGGACGACCGGGCCUGGUGAAAAAUUUGAUAUUCCGAAGUCGCCCAAACAAGAAAAUGCAAAAUGGCUCCAUAGCGCCCCCUAAGGUGAAAAUUCACACUAUUCACUGUCACGCCUGUACGCUUUGUCAAAAUGACACAAAAAUUGACACACACAUGUAUCUCAAUAAGAUCUACAAAAAAGUCAGUGCGGGCGUAUCUGUCAAAUGUACGGUUAAAGGGUUAUUUCGCAUUUUUUGCCGAUCCGCACACAUUGGAAUUUCGCUAACUCCUCCGAAGGCUUUCGUUCCACCGGCACCACAUUUGCUCAGGCCAAUCUACACCCCAUGGCCAUUAAAAGUUAUUCAAAUCAUGACGCUGCACCCCACGCUUUAGGUUCUAGGGGGCGCCAAAGAUAACCCUAAGAUCCACAUAUUUAAAAGUCUUAUAACUUUUUAUUUUUGCCCUCACUGGCCUCCAAGUUUUCUAGGAUGAUGCAAUGUCCAGCCAUCAACACAUUUGUGAAGGAAUUUUUACUCCCCAAAAGAGCGCCCCCCCAUGGCAGGAGAAAAAAGUCCAUUUUUUCUUGUCCCCUAAGGUGAAAAUACACAUUGUUGAGUGUAACACCUGUACGCUUUGUCAAAAUGACACAAAAAUUGACACACACAUGUAUCUCAAUAAGAUCUACAAAAAAGUCAAUGCGCGCGUAUCUGUCAAAUGUACGGUUAAAGGGUUAUUCCGCAUUUUUUGCCGAUCCGCACACAUUGGAAUUUCGCUAACUCCUCCAAAGGCUUUCGUUCCACCGGCACCACAUUUGCUCAGGCCAAUCUACACCCCAUGGCCAUUAAAAGUUAUUCAAAUCAUGACGCUGCACCCCACGCUUUAGGUUCUAGGGGGCGCCAAAGAUAACCCUAAGAUCCACAUAUUUAAAAGUCUUAUAACUUUUUAUUUUUGCCCUCACUGGCCUCCAAGUUUUCUAGGAUGAUGCAAUGUCCAGCCAUCAACACAUUUGUGAAGGAAUUUUUACUCGGCAAAAGAGCGCCCCCCCAUGGCAGGAGAAAAAAGUCAAUUUUUUCUUGUCCACUAAGGUGAAAAUACACAUUGUUGAGUGCUACGCCUGUAUGUUUUGUCGUAUUGACACAAAAUUUUACAUACACGUGUAUUUCAAUAAGAUCUUCGAAAAAGUCAAUGGCCACGUAUCUGUAAAAUGUACGGUUAAAGGGUUAUUUCGCAUUUUUUGCAGAUUCGCACACAUUGGAAUUUCGCUAAUUCCUCCGAAGGCUUUCGUUCCACCGGCACCACAUUUGCUCAGGCCAAUCUACACCCCAUGGCCAUUAAAAGUUAUUCAAAUCAUGACGCUGCACCCCACGGUUUAGGUUCUAGGGGGCGCCAAAUAUAACCCUAAAAUCCACAUAUUUAAAAGUCUUAUAACUUUUUAUUUUUGUCCUCACUGGCCUCCAUGUUUUCUAGGAUGAUGCAAUGUCCAGCCAUCAACACAUUUGUGAAGGAGUUUUUCUCUUUAAAAGAGCGCCCCCCAUGGCAGGAGAAUAAAGUCAAGUUUUUCCUGUUCAUCAUUCAAUGGCUCAAACGCACUGCUCUCUCGGCAAAAGCGAAAGGAGGAGCAACUUGCCAUUUGGAUAUAUCUUAGCUGUGUUUGUGCCCUCACUCAUGGUCCAGACUUUUUUCAAAUAGGACAUGGAGUUUUUCUGCAGCGAGCGUUUUGGUAGAAACUGCGCCUCCCGUUCAUUAUAAUGGUAAAUGACCACAAACAAGUGCGCACACCAUCUUUGGACCUUGAGUGUGACACGAUCGGGUGGGGGAGGCGGUCGCGCUGGGGGCGGCGCGACACGGCUCGGGCCCGCCAGUGCCCCAACGGGGCCCUAGUGUUAUUAUUAUUAUUAUUAUUUUUCCUCCCCUUUGAACUGGAAAAUGGCCCACUUCCCACUGGCGAAAACUCAUGAAAUUUGGCAGGACGACCGGGCCUGGUGAAAAAUUUGAUAUUCCGAAGUCGCCCAAACAAGAAAAUGCAAAAUGGCUCCAUAGCGCCCCCUAAGGUGAAAAUUCACACUAUUCACUGUCACGCCGGUACGCUUUGUCAAAAUGACACAAAAAUUGACACACACAUGUAUCUCAAUAAGAUCUACAAAAAAGUCAGUGCGGGCGUAUCUGUCAAAUGUACGGUUAAAGGGUUAUUUCGCAUUUUUUGCCGAUCCGCACACAUUGGAAUUUCGCUAACUCCUCCGAAGGCUUUCGUUCCACCGGCACCACAUUUGCUCAGGCCAAUCUACACCCCAUGGCCAUUAAAAGUUAUUCAAAUCAUGACGCUGCACCCCACGGUUUAGGUUCUAGGGGGCGCCAAAGAUAACCCUAAGAUCCACAUAUUUAAAAGUCUUAUAACUUUUUAUUUUUGCCCUCACUGGCCUCCAAGUUUUCUAGGAUGAUGCAAUGUCCAGCCAUCAACACAUUUGUGAAGGAAUUUUUACUCCCCAAAAGAGCGCCCCCCAUGGCAGGAGAAAAAAGUCCAUUUUUUCUUGUCCCCUAAGGUGAAAAUACACAUUGUUGAGUGUAACACCUGUACGCUUUGUCAAAAUGACACAAAAAUUGACACACACAUGUAUCUCAAUAAGAUCUACGAAAAAGUCAAUGCGCGCGUAUCUGUCAAAUGUACGGUUAAAGGGUUAUUCCGCAUUUUUUGCCGAUCCGCACACAUUGGAAUUUCGCUAACUCCUCCGAAGGCUUUCGUUCCACCGGCACCACAUUUGCUCAGGCCAAUCUACACCCCAUGGCCAUUAAAAGUUAUUCAAAUCAUGACGCUGCACCCCACGGUUUAGGUUCUAGGGGGCGCCAAAGAUAACUGUAAAAUCCACAUAUUUAAAAGUCUUAUAACUUUUUAUUUUUGUCCCCACUGGCCUCCAAGUUUUCUAGGAUGAUGCAAUGUCCAGCCAUCAACACAUUUGUGAAGGAAUUUUUACUCGCCAAAAGAGCGCCCCCCCAUGGCAGGAGAAAAAAGUCCAUUUUUUCUUGUCCACUAAGGUGAAAAUACACAUUGUUGAGUGCUACGCCUGUAUGUUUUGUCGUAUUGACACAAAAUUUUACAUACACGUGUAUUUCAAUAAGAUCUUCGAAAAAGUCAAUGGCCACGUAUCUGUAAAAUGUACGGUUAAAGGGUUAUUUCGCAUUUUUUGCAGAUUCGCACACAUUGGAAUUUCGCUAACUCCUCCGAAGGCUUUCGUUCCACCGGCACCACAUUUGCUCAGGCCAAUCUACACCCCAUGGCCAUUAAAAGUUAUUCAAAUCAUGACGCUGCACCCCACGGUUUAGGUUCUAGGGGGCGCCAAAGAUAACCCUAAAAUCCACAUAUUUAAAAGUCUUAUAACUUUUUAUUUUUGUCCUCACUGGCCUCCAUGUUUUCUAGGAUGAUGCAAUGUCCAGCCAUCAACACAUUUGUGAAGGAGUUUUUCUCUUUAAAAGAGCGCCCCCCCAUGGCAGGAGAAUAAAGUCAAGUUUUUCCUGUUCAUCAUUCAAUGGCUCAAACGCACUGCUCUCUCGGCAAAAGCGAAAGGAGGAGCAACUUGCCAUUUGGAUAUAUCUUAGCUGUGUUUGUGCCCUCACUCAUGGUCCAGACUUUUUUCAAAUAGGACAUGGAGUUUUUCUGCAGCGAGCGUUUUGGUAGAAACUGCGCCUCCCGUUCAUUAUAAUGGUAAAUGACCACAAACAAGUGCGCACACCAUCUUUGGACCUUGAGUGUGACGCGAUCGGGUGGGGGAGGCGGUCGCGCUGGGGGCAGUGUGACACGGCUCGGGCCCGCCAGUGCCCCAACGGGGCCCUAGUUCUUCUUUUUCCUCCCCUUUGAACUGGAAAAUGGCCCACUUCCCACUGGCGAAAACUCAUGAAAUUUGGCAGGAUGACCGGGCCUGGUGAAAAAUUUGAUAUUCCGAAGUCGCCCAAACAAGAAAAUGCAAAAUGGCUCCAUAGCGCCCCCUAAGGUGAAAAUUCACACUAUUGACUGUCACGCCUUUACACUUUGUCAAAAUGACACAAAAAUUGACACACAUAUGUAUCUCAAUAAGAUCUACAAAAAAGUCAGUGCGGGCGUAUCUGUCAAAUGUACGGUUAAAGGGUUAUUCCGCAUUUUUUGCCGAUCCACACACAUUGGAAUUUCGCUAACUCCUCCGAAGGCUUUCUUUCCACCGGCACCACAUUUGCUCAGGCCAAUCUACACCCCAUGGCCAUUAAAAGUUAUUCAAAUCAUGACGCUGCACCCCACGGUUUAGGUUCUAGGGGGCGCCAUAGAUAACCCUAAAAUCCACAUAUUUAAAAGUCUUAUAACUUUUUAUUUUUGCCCUCACUGGCCUCCAAGUUUUCUAGGAUGAUGCAAUGUCCAGCCAUCAACACAUUUGUGAAGGAAUUUUUACUCCCCAAAAGAGCGCCCCCCAUGGCCGGAGAAAAAAGUCAAUUUUUUCUUGUCCCCUAAGGUGAAAAUUCACAUUGUUGAGUGUCACGCCUGUACGCUUUGUCAUAUUGACACAAAAUUUGACACACACAUGUAUCUCAAUAAGAUCUACGAAAAAGUCAACGCGCGCGUAUCUGUCAAAUGUACGGUUAAAGGGUUAUUCCGCAUUUUUUGCUGAUCCGCACACAUUGGAAUUUCGCUAACUCCUCCUAAGGCUGGCGUUCCACCGGCACCACAUUUGCUCAGGCCAAUCUACACCCCAUGGCCAUUAAAAGUUAUUCAAAUCAUGACGCUGCACCCCACGGUUUAGGUUCUAGGGGGCGCCAAAGAUAAACCUAAAAUCCACAUAUUUCAAAGUCUUAUAACUUUUUAUUUUUGUCCUCACUGGCCUCCAAGUUUUCUAGGAUGAUGCAAUGUCCAGCCAUCAACACAUUUGUGAAGGAAUUUUUACUCCCCAAAAGAGCGCCCCCCCAUGGCAGGAGAAAAAAGUCAAUUUUUUCUUGUCCCGUAGGGUGAAAAUUCACAUUGUUGAGUGUGACACCUGUACGCUUUGUUAUAUUGACACAAAAUUUGACAAUCACGUGUAUCUCAAUAAGAUCUACGAAAAAGUCAACGCGUGCGUAUCUGUCAAAUGUACGGUUAGAGGGCUAUUUUGCAUUUUUUGCCGAUUCGCACACAUUGGAAUGUGGCUAACUCCUCCUAAGGCUUUUGUCCCACUGAAACCAAAUUUGCUCAGGCCAAUCUACACCCCAUGGCCAUUCAAAGUUGUAAAAAUCAUGACGCUGCACCCCACGGUUUACAUUCUAGGGGGCGCCAAAGAUGACCAAAAAUUCCACAUUCUUAAAAGAAUCCACAUUCUCCCCCCCCCCAUGGCAGGAGAAAAAUAUCAAGUUUUUCCUGCCCAUCGCUCAAUGGCUCAAUCGCAUCGCUCUCCAGGCAACACCGUAACGAGGAGCAACCUGCCAUUUGGAUAUAUCCCAGCUGUGUUUGUGCCCUCACUCAUGGUCCAGACUUUUUUCAAAUAGGACAUGAAGUUUGGCAGCUCGGGCCCGCCAGUGCCCCAACGGGGUCCUAGUUAUUUUUCCUCCGCUUUAAACUGGAAAAUGGCCCACUUCCCACUGGCGAAAACUCAUGAAAUUUGGCAGGACGACCGGGCCUGGUGAAAAAUUCGAUAUUCUGAAGUCGCCCAAACAAUAAAAUGCAAAAUGGCUCCAUAGCGCCCCCUAAGGUGGAAAUUCACACUAUUGACUGUCACGCCUUUACGCUUUGUCAUAUUGACACAAAAAUUGACACACACAUGUAUCUCAAUAAGAUCUACAAAAAAGUCAGUGCGGGCGUAUCUGUCAAAUGUACGGUUAAAGGGUUAUUGCGCAUUUUUUGCCGAUCCGCACACAUUGGAAUUUCGCUAACUCCUCCGAAGGCUUUCGUUCCACCGGCACCACAUUUGCUCAGGCCAGUCUACACCCCAUGGCCAUUAAAAGUUGUACAAAUCAUGACGCUGCACCCCACGGUUUAGGUUCUAGGGGGCGCCAAAGAUAACCCAAAAAUCCACAUUCUUAAAAGUCUUAUAACUUUUUAUUUUUGUCCUCACUGCCCUCCAAGUUUUCUAGGAUGAUGCAAUGUCCAGCCAUCAACACAUUUGUGAAGGAAUUUUUACUCCCCAAAAGAGCGCCCCCCCAUGGCAGGAGAAAAAAGUCAAUUUUUUCUUGUCCCCUUACAUGAAAAUACACAUUGUUGAGUGUCACGCCUGAACGCUUUGUCAUAUUGACACAAAAAUUGACAAUCAUGUGUAUCUCAAUUAGAUCUACGAAAAAGUCAAAGAGCACGUAUCUGUAUAAUGUACGGGUAAAGGGCUAUUUCGCAUUUUUUGCCGAUUCGCACACAUUGGAAUGUGGCUAUCUCCUCCUAAGGCUUUCGUCCCACUGAUACCAAAUUUGCUCAGGGCAAUCUACACCCCAUGCCCAUUCAAAGUUGUAAAAACCAUGAUGCUGCACCCCACGGUUUACGUUCUAGGGGGCGCCAAAGAUGACCCAAAAAUCCACAUUCUUAAAAGUCAUUUUGGCCACUGCAGGAGUACAGAGUACUGCAGUUCUAGGGGGCGCCAAAGAUGACCCAAAAAUCCACAUUCUUAAAAGUCUUUUUGGCCACUGCAGGAGUACAGAGUACUGCAGGAUACACACACAUAUACACACACGCCAACACACACACACACACACACACACACACACACACACACACACACACACUCAGAGUCUGUUUUUUAGCACCUGCAAAAACAUGCUGUUUACAUAUUUGACAAGAAUGCAGAGGCUUCCUUUUGCCCCUGAAAAAAAUCAAAUUUCAAACACAACUUGACUGUUCAUUUCUCCAAAAGACAACCAUGAAGCUCCAUCCAAACCUGAAGCAGAUAGUUGGUGCAUGUGUACAGUAACCUGAGGGGAGUGAGGUGACUAUUUCUGAGGAGAACAUGAGCAGUGAAGAUUCACCUUGGAGCUAGAACAGGGACGUGCACAUGAUUAUACAGGGGCAGGGGCUCAAGUUUUUUCCAGUCAUUUAUACAAUAUGGAAAUUAAUGUGAAAUUAAAAAACAAAGUAUUAAUAGAAAGGUUAUGACUGUCCUGUGUAGAUGACAGUGAUAUCCAAUAGGCUAGGCACUCACGAGGCUGGCUGUGGCAAGUGUAAGUGAAAGCAACACGCACUGGCAGGAAGAACAGCAAACGCUGAUGAAGGAAAGGGUCUUUGCAGUGAUGGGCGUUACCAGAGAGGACGAUGGCCAGAGGACGCGAAUGGGACGGGGAGGCAGCGCGUUGGGGGGGGCAGCGCGACACGGCUCGGGCCCGCCAGUGCCCCAACGGGGCCCUAGUUAUUAUUUUUCCUCCCCUUUGAACUGGAAAAUGGCCCACUUCCCACUGGCGAAAACUCAUGAAAUUUGGCAGGACGACCGGGCCUGGUGAAAAAUUUGAUAUUCCGAAGUCGCCCAAACAAGAAAAUGCAAAAUGGCUCCAUAGCGCCCCCUAAGGUGAAAAUUCACACUAUUCACUGUCACGCCGGUACGUUUUGUCAAAAUGACACAAAAAUUGACACACACAUGUAUCUCAAUAAGAUCUACAAAAAAGUCAGUGCGGGCGUAUCUGUCAAAUGUACGGUUAAAGGGUUAUUUCGCAUUUUUUGCCGAUCCGCACACAUUGGAAUUUCGCUAACUCCUCCGAAGGCUUUCUGUCCACCGGCACCACAUUUGCUCAGGCCAAUCUACACCCCAUGGCCAUUAAAAGUUAUUCAAAUCAUGACGCUGCACCCCACGGUUUAGGUUCUAGGGGGCGCCAAAGACAACCCUAAAAUCCACAUAUUUAAAAGUCUUAUAACUUUUUAUUUUUGUCCUCACUGCCCUCCAAGUUUUCUAGGAUGAUGCAAUGUCCAGCCAUCAACACAUUUGUGAAGGAAUUUUUACUCCCCAAAAGAGCGCCCCCCCAUGGCAGGAGAAAAAAGUCCAUUUUUUCUUGUCCCCUAAGGUGAAAAUACAUAUUGUUGAGAUUCACGCCUAUACGCUUUGUCAUAUUGACACAAAAUUUGACAAUCAUGUGUAUCUCAAUUAGAUCUACGAAAAAGUCAAAGAGCGCGUAUCUGUAUAAUGUACGGUUAAAGGGCUAUUUUGCAUUUUUUGCCGAUUCGCACACAUUGGAAUGUGGCUAUCUCCUCCUAAGGCUUUCGUCCCACC